rnacentral:rRNA from 1 species
UACGAAGGGGGCUAGCGUUGCUCGGAAUCACUGGGCGUAAAGCGCACGUAGGCGGAUUGCUAAGUCAGGGGUGAAAUCCUGGAGCUCAACUCCAGAACUGCCUUUGAUACUGGUGAUCUUGAGUCCGGGAGAGGUGAGUGGAACUGCGAGUGUAGAGGUGAAAUUCGUAGAUAUUCGCAAGAACACCAGUGGCGAAGGCGGCUCACUGGCCCGGUACUGACGCUGAGGUGCGGAAAGUGU